UCGAGAAUCUUCCACAAUGGACGAAAGUCUGAUGGAGCGACGCCGCGUGAUUGAUGAAGUCCCUCUGGGACGUAAAGAUCUUUUAUGAGGGAAGAAGUUUAUUGACCGUACCUCAUGAAUAAGAGGCUCCCAAUCUCGUGCCAGCAGGAGCGGUAAUACGAGAGCCUCGAGCGUUAUCCGGAAUUAUUGGGCGUAAAGGGUGCGUAGGUGGUUCUGUUAGUCUUUUGUUAAAGCCCCGGGCUUAACCUGGGAAGCGCAAAAGAAACGGCAGAACUUUGAAAGUGCGAGGGGUGUACGGAACUCUAGGUGUAGGGGUGAAAUCCAUUGAUAUCUAGGGGAACACCAAAAGCGAAAGCAGUACACUGGCGCAUAUUUGACACUGAAGCACGAAAGCGUGGGUAGCGAAUGGG
rnacentral:rRNA from 1 species